rnacentral:rRNA from 1 species
GGGGCCUUUUAGGUUUUCUAAUCGGAAUGAGAAGAAUUUAAACCUCUCACCGAGGAUCCAUUGGAGGGCAAGUCUGGUGCCAGCAGCCGCGGUAAUUCCAGCUCCAAUAGCGUAUAUUAAAGUUGUUGCAGUUAAAACGCUCGUAGUCGGAUAUCGGGGCGCGGACACAGAAKCGGCUCCGGUUGCAGUCUGUGAACGGUCUGCCCCUAAUUCUGGGACGCGGWGUUGCGGGACUUUACUGUCUCUGCGCACCUGCGGGCCGGACGUUUUACUGUGAAGAAAUUAGGGUGUUCAAAGCAUGCGUUCGCUAUGGAUACGUGAGCAUGGAAUAAUAGAAUAGGACUWGGGCUCUAUUUUGUUGGUUUCCGGGGACCAAGUAAUGAUUAAUAGGGAUAGAUUGGGGGCAUUCCGCAUUUCAUUGUCAGAGGUUGAAAUUCUUGGAUUGAUGGAAGACGGACUACUGCGAAAGCAUCUGCCAAGGAUGUUUUCUUUGAUCAAGAACGAAAGUUAGGGGAUCGAAGACGAUCAGAUACCGUCGUAGUCUUAACCAUAAACUAUGCCGACUGGAGAUUGGCGGGGAUUUGUUGUAUG